GACGAACGCUGGCGGCGUGCUUAACACAUGCAAGUCGAACGGUAAGGCCCUUCGGGGUACACGAGUGGCGAACGGGUGAGUAACACGUGGGUGAUCUGCCCUGCACUUCGGGAUAAGCCUGGGAAACUGGGUCUAAUACCGGAUAGGACUCCGGACUGCAUGGUCUGGGGUGGAAAGCUUUUGCGGUGUGGGAUGGGCCCGCGGCCUAUCAGCUUGUUGGUGGGGUGAUGGCCUACCAGGGCGACGACGGGUAGCCGGCCUGAGAGGGUGACCGGCCACAGUGGGACUGAGAUACUGCCCCGACUCCUACGGGAUGCAGCAGGGGGGAAUAUUGCUCCAUGGGCGCAAGCCUGAUGCAGCGACGCCGCGUGAGGGAUGACGGCCUUCGGGUUGUAAACCUCUUUCAGCAUCGACGAAGCGAAAGUGACGGUAGGUGCAGAAGAAGGACCGGCCAACUACGUGCCAGCCGCCGCUGUAA
rnacentral:rRNA from 1 species